rnacentral:tRNA from 1 species
GGGGAUGUGGCUCAGUGCUAGAGCAUUUGCCUAACAUGCAUGAAGCACUGGAUUCUAUCCCCAGCACCACA